rnacentral:rRNA from 1 species
UACGGGGGGAGCAAGCGUUGUUCGGAUUUACUGGGCGUAAAGGGCGCGUAGGCGGCCACCGCAAGUCGAUUGGGAAAUCUCCGGGCUUAACCCGGAAAGGUCAACCGAUACUGCGGGGCUAGAGUGCAGAAGGGGCAACUGGAAUUCUCGGUGUAGCGGUGAAAUGCGUAGAUAUCGAGAGGAACACCUGCGGCGAAGGCGGGUUGCUGGGCUGACACUGACGCUGAUGCGCGAAAGCUAGGGGAGCGAACGGG